UACGUAGGGUGCAAGCGUUGUCCGGAAUUAUUGGGCGUAAAGAGCUCGUAGGCGGCCUGUCGCGUCGACCGUGAAAACCCGCAGCUCAACUGCGGGCUUGCGGUCGAUACGGGCAGGCUCGAGUUCGGUGAGGGGAGACUGGAAUUCCUGGUGUAGCGGUGAAAUGCGCAGAUAUCAGGAGGAACACCGGUGGCGAAGGCGGGUCUCUGGGCCGAUACUGACGCUGAGGAGCGAAAGCGUGGGGAGCGAACAGG
rnacentral:rRNA from 1 species